GGGGGGUACCACCCUCAGUGCCGAAGGAAACCCAAUAAGCACUCCGCCUGGGGAGUACGGUCGCAAGACUGAAACUCAAAGGAAUUGACGGGGGCCCGCACAAGCGGUGGAGCAUGUGGUCUAAUUCGAAGCAACGCGAAGAACCUUACCAAGGCUUGACAUCCCAUUGACCGGUGUAGAGAUAUACCUUUCCUUCGGGACAAUGGUGACAGGUGGUGCAUGGUUGUCGUCAGCUCGUGUCGUGAGAUGUUGGGUUCAGUCCCGCAACGAGCGCAACCCUUAUCCUUAGUUGCCAGCAGGUAGAGCUGGGCACUCUAAAGAGACAGCCGGUGAAAGCCGGAGGAAGGUGGGGAUGACGUCAAAUCAUCAUGCCCCUUAUGUCUUGGGCUACACACGUGCUACAAUGGUUGGUGCAAAGGGAAGCGAAGCCGCGAGGUGAAGCGAAUCUCAUAAAACCAAUCUCAGUUCGGAUCGUAGGCUGCAACUCGCCUACGUGAAGUCGGAAUCGCUAGUAAUCGCGGAUCAGCAUGCCGCGGUGAAUACGUUCUCGGGCCUUGUACACACCGCC
rnacentral:rRNA from 1 species